rnacentral:rRNA from 1 species
GUCCACGCCCUAAACGAUGUCAACUGGUUGUUGGUGGGGUUAAACCCAUUAGUAACGAAGCUAACGCGUGAAGUUGACCGCCUGGGGAGUACGGCCGCAAGGUUAAAACUCAAAGGAAUUGACGGGGACCCGCACAAGCGGUGGAUGAUGUGGAUUAAUUCGAUGCAACGCGAAGAACCUUACCUACCCUUGACAUGCCAGGGAGCUCGAUGAGAGUCGAGUGUGCCCGAAAGGGAGCCUGGACACAGGUGCUGCAUGGCUGUCGU